AGAGCAGGGCAGCUCAUUCAGGGGAGGAGGCGGAACGGAGCUGAGCACAGACCUUAAGGAACACACCAUGCACCCCGCUGACCGGCUUCGGCAGAUAAGGAAGAAUCCUAGGCACAGCUAAGACGACGUGUUCUGGGAGGUGCUGCAGUGCGAUGAGAGACAGACCAGGGAAUGGAAAGAGUGCUGGGAAGCCGAAAGGCAGGACAGAAAAGAGAAUGCAGCAUUUGCUAGGCAAGCGACAGAGCGGAUGAUAAAAGUGAUGGAGGAUCAGACAGAGAUGCUCAGGUCUUUGACACAGCUGCAGACUGAGCAGAUCCGUGGCUGACCUCCACUGUCGCAUGUGCACAUGCACAAUUCUUUGCCAACUCCACUCCCCUCUAUGCCCAGACCUUCCUUUUCCCUUCACAGCCCUCCUGAGCCUCCCCAUCACUCCACCCCCUCUCACAGCUUGCACAAUGAUAGCUGGAGCUGCACACAGUUGUGAGGUUUUACCCUUUUUAACAAUAAAUAAAGGCUAAGGUAUUUAA